GAUGAACGCUAGCGGCAGGCUUAAUACAUGCAAGUCGAGGGGCAGCACAGUGUAGCAAUACAUGGGUGGCGACCGGCAAACGGGUGCGUAACACGUACACAACUUACCCUUUACUGGGGGAUAGCCCAGGGAAACUUGGAUUAAUACCCCAUAUUGCAGAUGACCGGCAUCGGUUGUUUGCCAAAGUUCCGACGGUAAAGGAUGGGUGUGCGGUUGAUUAGGUAGUUGGCGGGGUAACGGCCCACCAAGCCUACGAUCAAUAGCUGAUGUGAGAGCAUGAUCAGCCACACGGGCACUGAGACACGGGCCCGACUCCUACGGGAGGCAGCAGUAAGGAAUAUUGGGCAAUGGACGCAAGUCUGACCCAGCCAUGCCGCGUGAAGGAUGAAGGCCCUCUGGGUUGUAAACUUCUUUAUCUGGGGCGAAAAAAGGGAAUUCUUUCUCGUCUGACGGUACCCUAUGAAUAAGCACCGGCUAACUCCGUG
rnacentral:rRNA from 1 species